AAAAGGAGACAGAAAAUUCAAUCUUUUGCUGGCCAUCCUUUCCCUUUCUGUUCUCCACAUACUUCACUUGGGAAUCUUUCUAUGUGCACUAAUUUAUUUGGUUUGUGGUAUACUGUUAAUUAUAAUGUUACCUAGGAGGCCAGGAGAGCUGACCAACAAAGAAGAGAAAGCAGUAUAUUCUGACCACAGUGAUACAAACAUCUGUUUAGAAACACUCUAGCACUUAAGGUCUUUUAGUAUAAGCCCAUUAUCAGCUCUUUUUCUUUUAUUUCAUGUCUCUCUACCUUCUUACUUCAGUUCUGUGUUCCUA
rfam:Loxodonta africana cont3.46468, whole genome shotgun sequence.